rnacentral:siRNA from 1 species
AUAUGUCCAAUGUCUUUUCUA